rnacentral:rRNA from 1 species
CCUACGGGAGACAGCAGUGGGGAAUAUUGGGCAAUGGGCGCAAGCCUGACCCAGCAACGCCGCGUGAAGGAAGAAGGCUUUCGGGUUGUAAACUUCUUUUGUCAGGGAAGAGUAGAAGACGGUACCUGACGAAUAAGCCACGGCUAACUACGUGCCAGCAGCCGCGGUAAUACGUAGGUGGCAAGCGUUGUACGGAUUUACUGGGUGUAAAGGGCGUGUAGCCGGGUUGACAAGUCAGAUGUGAAAUCCUGCGGCUUAACCGCAGAACUGCAUUUGAAACUGUUGAUCUUGAGUACUGGAGAGGCAGACGGAAUUCCUAGUGUAGCGGUGAAAUGCGUAGAUAUUAGGAGGAACACCAGUGGCGAAGGCGGUCUGCUGGACAGCAACUGACGGUGAGGCGCGAAAGCGUGGGGAGCAAACAGGAUUAGAUACCCCAGUAGUC